GGCUGCAGUCGAGGAUCUUCCGCAAUGGGCGCAAGCCUGACGGGGCGAUGCCGCGUGAACGAUGAAGGCCUUCGGGUUGUAAAGUUCUGUCACGAGGGAAGAACCGCUGGGGGUUAACAGCCUUCCAGCCUGACGUUACCUCGGGAGGAAGCCAUGGCUAACUCCGUGCCAGCAGCCGCGGUAAUACGGAGAUGGCAAGCGUUGUUCGGAUUUACUGGGCAUAAAGCGCACGUAGGCGGAGUCAUAAGUCGGUUGUGAAAUCCCGGGGCUCAACCCCGGAACAGCGGCCGAUACUGUGAUUCUGGAGCACGAAAGGGGAGAGUGGAACUUCUGGUGGAGCGGUGAAAUGCGUAGAUAUCAGAAGGAACACCGGUGGCGAAAGCGACUCUCUGGUUCGUUGCUGACGCUGAGGUGCGAAAGCUAGGGGAGCAAACGGGAUUAGAUACCCCGGUAGUCCUAGCCGUAAACGAUGGGCACUAAGUAGGGGAGGUUCUGACGCCUUCCCUGCCGGAGCUAAUGUAUUAAGUGCCCCGCCUGGGGAGUAUGCUCGCAAGGGUAAAACUCAAAGGAAUUGACGGGGGCUCACACAA
rnacentral:rRNA from 1 species